CUGGAGUGAAGCAAUGAUGAAACUGAUGACCUUCGACGUCCUGUGGAGCAGACGCUGGGAGACAUCGAGCCCCGCCCUGAAGAAGAAGAUGAUUGGCUGCCUGCAGUUGAUGUGGUGCUGCCAGAGCCAAUGGAAUCUGGCCGUGGUAAAGCCCCGCCCCUCUGAAGGCCAGACACCAGAGGAUUGGGUGUUUUCAGUAUUCCUACGAGUUCUGUCAGAAGAGAAAAGUCACAGAAAGUUCAGUGUGUGAUUGGCUGAUAAAUACCUCUUCCUGUGACAUCACCAUUCACAGUGUGAUUGACAGCUGCGUUUCUGGGCUGAAUGUCUACAAAAGGUUUGCAGCCGGUUCCCAUGAACAACCUCUCCUGUCUCCUCAACUCUGAAACACAAAAAUCAGCAAGUCUUGUCAAUCUGUGGAGAUAUAUCCUCAAACAAUUGUG
rnacentral:lncRNA from 1 species